ACAGGUUAAUCUCAACCUCGUCCAAACAAAGCCCUUCAUCUCCCUCUCUCAUCUCUUUCAUCAAAGAACCUGAAAACCCUAGCGCCGCCUUCAAUCUCCUCGCCAUUUUCGGCCGGCGGCGGAGCUCCAAUCACAUCCAAAUCAACACCACACAACCUCUAAAGCCCCCCUCAUCCCAAAUCCCCAUUUCAUUCCCCUCAAAUUUUGGCUGAAGCUUCUCGAAACCUAAAUCUAGGGUUCAAGCCCUAGAAGCCAAAGUUAAAAUUCGUUCAUGCAAGGGUACCUCUCUAGUGUUUAUGAGCGUUCAAGGCCGGUUUUAUCACGAAACAAUGUUAUUCGCCUGUUCUUGACAAUGAACAGAUGAUUAAUAUUGUUUUGCGGUCUAAAUCGGAAGGGCAGUCGGGGUCGAGCCUGAGUCAGUAUCUUUUAGAAGCACAAACGACAUGUAAAGAUGUGAAUCUGCACUUCGAAUAUGAAAUACUUUGGAUACAAAUUGCACUUCAAGUUUAUUUCUUCUGUUUCUUCUAUUUUGUAUUGUGAUGCCUGUAAACCUUAUAUUAUGCAUGCUAGUCUCAUUAGUCUGAUUCUGGAAGGGCAUGAGCAUGAGGUCUGGAUUCAAACGAGCUGAAGUCUUUGAACAUAUGCGUGUCAUGAAAGUCUUGUAAUAGAAGCUAAAGUUUAAGUGUGUGAUUCACGCUGAUUCGUUCAAGCGUUAAUAGUUAGCUACUGUUUAUUGUGAUUGUUGGGGUGGGGUACUGUUAAGCAUUGUAGGUGCAAAAUCAUGAGGAACUACUGUUGAAGCAUGUUGAUUGAUUGCUGAAUGUAUUAGCAGCCUGCAUCCCUUUAUACUUUAUAGAUUGUGCAAAUGACAGUGUUGUUUCUUUCCUUC